UCAUGUCUAAACCAAGUUCACACAAAACUCUUCCAUCUCUAGGGAUUGUUCAUGUCUAAACCAGUUCACACACAAAAACUCUUCCAUCUCUAGGACAUUGUUCAUGCCUAAACCAAGUUCACACAAAAACUCUUCCAUCUCUAGGAGAUUGUUCAUGUCUAAA
rnacentral:lncRNA from 1 species